GACGAACGCUGGCGGCGUGCUUAACGCAUGCAAGUCGAACGGAAAGGCCCUGCUUUUGUGGGGUGCUCGAGUGGCGAACGGGUGAGUAACACGUGAGUAACCUGCCCUUGACUUUGGGAUAACUUCAGGAAACUGGGGCUAAUACCGGAUAGGAGCUCCUGCUGCAUGGUGGGGGUUGGAAAGUUUCGGCGGUUGGGGAUGGACUCGCGGCUUAUCAGCUUGUUGGUGGGGUAGUGGCUUACCAAGGCUUUGACGGGUAGCCGGCCUGAGAGGGUGACCGGCCACAUUGGGACUGAGAUACGGCCCAGACUCCUACGGGAGGCAGCAGUGGGGAAUAUUGCACAAUGGGCGGAAGCCUGAUGCAGCAACGCCGCGUGCGGGAUGACGGCCUUCUGGUUGUAAACCGCUUUCGCCUGUGACGAAGCGUGAGUGACGGUAAUGGGUAAAGAAGCACCGGCUAACUACGUG
rnacentral:rRNA from 1 species